GUGAGACACAAAACAACGAAGGUACUGCUCCAGAGACUGGUUGGCACGUUCAGCAGCUCCAUUAGACUGGGGAUGGUAAGCGGAAGAAAAUGAGAGAGAAAUACCCAUUUCUGAGCAAAAGGCUUUCCAGAACUUGGAAAUAAAUUGACUACCCCUAUCGGACACGAUAGAUACAGGAAUACCAUGUAACCGAAAUACUUCUCUAGCGAAGAUAAGAGCCAGUUCCUUGGAUGUGGGCAACUUGCGAAGAGACACAAAGUGAGCCAUCUUGGAAAACCGAUCUACUAUCAUCAGGAUGACUGUGUUACCAUUCGAAGGGGGUAAUUCAACAAUAAAAUCCAUGGAUAGGUUAGACCAAGGUCUCUUUCGGGAACUGGUAAGGGAUGCAGAAGCCCACAAGGAACUCUACGAGACGUUUUCAUACAUGCACAAGUAGUACAAGCACUUAUAUAGCCAGUGACAUCCUUACGUAAGGAACCCCACCAAAAAUAUCGAGAAACGGCUGACAUCGUUUUGGUAAUACCAGG